rnacentral:tRNA from 1 species
GGCCGCGUGGCCUAAUGGCUAAGGCGCUAGAUUUCGGUCUCCAUUUUCUGAACUCUCUAGAGAUUCCAGGUUCGACUCCUGGCGUGGUCG